UUUGAAUUCGUCUAAUGCAAUUUGUGAAUUGGAAGUUGGCAACUUCUAUGCAGUUGUGAGCUCUAGCUUAGACUUUUAGUGGUUAGGAACAGUUUGAGAAAACCAUUGAUCUUUGUACGUCUUGAAGUUAACAGAUACCAUGAUAAUUGUAUUGUUUUUGUACUUUGGGACAUGCAAAAUUUGAAUUCUUUGUACUGCAUCUGUUCUAAAAAAUAUUUGUAAAUUGCAGCCAUAAUACUUUAUUUAUCACAAAAGAAUAUAAACUUUUUCUAGGGAGGAUAAACUUGUAGAACGUGCCAAAACUCUGAAGGUAAGUUCUGGAACAGAACCUGAUGCAGAUCUUGGUCCAGUAAUUAGCAAGCAGGCAAAGGAGAGGAUUCACAGAUUAGUUCAAUCUGGCAUCGAUAGUGGAGCCAGGCUACUGCUAGAUGGGAGAGAUAUAGUGGUUCCUGGAUAUGAGCAUGGAAAUUUUAUUGGCCCUACUGUCUUAACAGACGUGACGCCUGACAUGGAGUGCUACAAGG